CAGCAUUUUAGUCUAUUUUUCCCAGUCUUUUUUCCCCGUUAGUAUCUAAAUGUGUAUAUGUCAUACACACCUCUAUCACAUGUCCAUAUAAAAUCAUAAUAUAUUUUAUAAAAUUGUAAUCACAGUGAAAAAAUUAUAUAGCCCAAAUUUGACUUAGUAUCAUCAGCUUUUUAUUAUUUUUAAAUGAACUUCUUACCUAUUUUUAUGGCUUCCUAAAUUUCAUCAAAUGAAUAUGAAUCUAACCAUUGCCCUGUUGUUUAUAACACCUGUAAGGUUCAGCACAGCACUGAAUCUCAGCGUGCCCCCAUGCAUGAUACCCUGGGAAGUUCUCCUGCCUCAUCUCUCACCAGUGCUUCCAGUCGUCCUCCGUUUCAGCCCACAGAGCCCCCUGCCAUCCUCACAGCACCUUGUUCUGUUUCACACUGCAUGUUUUUCCCAGGGAUAUACCUGUUUCCCCCACCUGGAAUGCCCUCUUGACUCUGAAUCCUUUCCUUUACUCGCUUUCUGCCCUACAAUUUGGUCUAUCCGAUGACAAAUGUGUUCUUAACCUUCCAAUCUGCUGUUAUCUCCUGUAUGAAGACUUUUCUGACUUUAUCAAGUAGAACUGGCCCCUUCGUCCUUUACAUCUCCACUGUACUCUUUAUAUGUCUAUCUAUACCAUAUGUAUUUCUACAAAGUAUAUUUAAUUUUUUUUUCAUUUUUUUCUUUCGCUUCCUUCCUCCUCCACUCUCUCCUUCCCUCUUUCCCCUUUCUCUUCUUUUUCUUCACCUCCUCUAACCUCAAUAAUUUAAAAACUGAUGAGGACAGAAUCUGUUAGAUCUGUCUCUGCUUUCCAAGUACCUAUCACAGAGUGGGAAAUAGAAUGCAUGCAGUCCUUUUUUUUAACGAAUGCAGGAAUGAAUGGUGGUGUUGAAGUGUCAGGUCAAGUUGCUUUCUAAUGUCCCGAGAGACACAUGCUAUCCCAGUUUUACCAUUGCUUCUAGUUUAGGAUAUCACAUUAAGCAUUUUGGGAAAUAAUUUAAUAGAUGAAAUGUUAUCUUGCUUUAUUUUAAUAUUGUUUUUUUAUUCCUAGGAGGGUCCCCAUUUUAUCAUG
rnacentral:lncRNA from 1 species